GAUGAACGCUGACAGAAUGCUUAACACAUGCAAGUCAACUUGAACUUCGGUUUGGGUGGCGGACGGGUGAGUAACGCGUAAAGAACUUGCCUCACAGCUAGGGACAACAUUUGGAAACGAAUGCUAAUACCUGAUAUUAUGAUUAUAUGGCAUCGUAUAAUUAUGAAAGCUAUAUGCGCUGUGAGAGAGCUUUGCGUCCCAUUAGCUAGUUGGAGAGGUAACAGCUCACCAAGGCGAUGAUGGGUAGCCGGCCUGAGAGGGUGAUCGGCCACAAGGGGACUGAGACACGGCCCUUACUCCUACGGGAGGCAGCAGGGGGGAAUAUGGGACAAUGGACCGAGAGUCUGAUCCAGCAAUUCUGUGUGCACGAUGAAGUUUUUCGGAAUGUAAAGUGCUUUCAGUUGGGAAGAAAAAAAUGACGGUACCAACAGAAGAAGUGACGGCUAAAUACGUG
rnacentral:rRNA from 1 species